CCUACGGGUGGCAGCAGUGGGGAAUAUUGGGCAAUGGGCGAAAGCCUGACCCAGCAACGCCGCGUGAAGGAAGCAGGCUUUCGGGUUGUAAACUUCUUUUGACAGGGCAGAGCAGAAGACGGUACCUGUCGAAUAAGCCACGGCUAACUACGUGACAGCAGCCGCGGUAACACGUAGGUGGCAAGCGUUGUCCGGAUUUACUGGGUGUAAAGGGCGUGUAGCCGGGCUGACAAGUCAGAUGUGAAAUGCGGGGGCUCAACCCGCGAACUGCAUUUGAAACUGUUGGUCUUGAGUAUCGGAGAGGCAGGCGGAAUUCCUAGUGUAGCGGUGAAAUGCGUAGAUAUUAGGAGGAACACCAGUGGCGAAGGCGGUCUGCUGGGCGACAACUGACGGUGAGGCGCGAAAGCGUGGGGAGCAAACGGGAUUAGAUACCCGAGUAGUC
rnacentral:rRNA from 1 species